AGCGGCUGGAAGAGCACC
rnacentral:snRNA from 1 species